AUUGAACGCUGGCGGCAUGCUUUACACAUGCAAGUCGAACGGCAGCGCGGGCUUCGGCCUGGCGGCGAGUGGCGAACGGGUGAGUAGUGCAUCGGAACGUGCCCAGUAGUGGGGGAUAGCCCGGCGAAAGCCGGAUUAAUACCGCAUACGACCUGAGGGUGAAAGCGGGGGACCGAAAGGCCUCGCGCUAUUGGAGCGGCCGAUGUCGGAUUAGCUAGUUGGUGGGGUAAAGGCUUACCAAGGCGACGAUCCGUAGCUGGUCUGAGAGGACGACCAGCCACACUGGAACUGAGACACGGCCCAGACUCCUACGGGAGGCAGCAGUGGGGAAUUUUGGACAAUGGGGGCAACCCUGAUCCAGCCAUGCCGCGUGCGGGAAGAAGGCCUUCGGGUUGUAAACCGCUUUUGUUCGGGAAGAAAUCCUCUGGGCUAAUACCCCGGGGGGAUGACGGUACCGGAAGAAUAAGCACCGGCUAACUACGUG
rnacentral:rRNA from 1 species